GAUGAACGCUGGCGGCGUGCCUAAUACAUGCAAGUCGAGCGAACAGACGAGGAGCUUGCUCCUCUGACGUUAGCGGCGGACGGGUGAGUAACACGUGGAUAACCUACCUAUAAGACUGGGAUAACUUCGGGAAACCGGAGCUAAUACCGGAUAAUAUAUUGAACCGCAUGGUUCAAUAGUUAAAUACGGUUUUUCUGUCUCUUAUAGAUGGAUCCGCGCCUCAUUAGCUAGUUGGUAAGUUAACGGCUUACCAAGGCGACGAUGCGUAGCCGACCUGAGAGGGGGAUCGGCCACACUGGAACUGAGACACGGUCCAGACUCCUACGGGAGGCAGCAGUAGGGAAUCUUCCGCAAUGGGCGAAAGCAUGACGGAGCAACGCCGCGUGAGUGAUGAAGGUCUUCGGAUCGUAAAACUCUGUUAUUAGGGAAGAAAAAAUGUGUAAGUAACUAUGCACGUCUUGACGGUACCUAAUCAGAAAGCCACGGCUAACUACGUG
rnacentral:rRNA from 1 species